AAAAAAGGGUGUUACAAUAAUCACACAUUCGAGCUUGAGUUUGUUGUACGUGAUGGUGUUGGGAAUCUGCGAGUGUUGAUCAAUGCAUCAAGUCAAGCUUGCGUUAGAUUGAAGCGAGUUAACAUUUUUCAUUUAGUGAUAACACUUAUUGAACCUACGCUGCACAUGCAUUAAAAAACAAAUAUCUUUAAUAGCACCAAAACAAAUAAAAAAACUGGAAAAAU
rnacentral:lncRNA from 1 species